rnacentral:rRNA from 1 species
GUAGUCAUAUGCUUGUCUCAAAGAUUAAGCCAUGCAUGUAUAUGUUCACACCUUUAUAUGGUGAAGCCGCGAAUGGCUCAUUAAAUCAGCUAUGGUUCCUUAGAUCUUACAUCCAUACUUGGAUAACUGCAGUAAUUCUAGAGCUAAUACAUGCCAAAAUGCCCUGACUUCGGGAAGGGUGGAUUCAUUAGAACAAAACCAACCGGCUUCGGCUGUUGGCUUGAUGACUCUGGAUAACUUUUCUGAUCGCAUGGCCUUGUGCCAGCGACGUAUCUUUCAAAUGUCUGCCCUAUCAACUAUCGAUGGUAGGUGAUAUGCCUACCAUGGUUAUGACGGGUAACGGGGAAUCAGGGUUCGAUUCCGGAGAGGGAGCCUUAGAAAUGGCUACCACAUCUAAGGAAGGCAGCAGGCGCGCAAAUUACCCACUCUCAGCUAGAGGAGGUAGUGACGAAAAAUAACGAUGCGGGACUCCUAUGAGGCUCCGCAAUUGGAAUGAGUACAAUUUAAAUCCUUUAACGAGGAACAAUUGGAGGCAAGUCUGGUGCCAGCAGCCGCGGUAACUCCAGCUCCAAUAGCGUAUAUUAAAGUUGCUGCAGUUAAAAAGCUCGUAGUUGGAUCUCAGGUACGGAGCUAGUGGUUGGCUUUAGCCGAACCAUUAGUUUCCGCCUCACUAGCUGUAUGUUAUCUUGUGUGCUCUUCACUGUGUGCACAAGAUACUCAGCACGUUUACUUUGAAAAAAUUAGAGUGCUCAAAGCAGGCCUUGUGCUUGAAUACUGUUGCAUGGAAUAAUGGAAUGGGACUUCGGUUCUAUUUUGUUGGUUUUCGGAAUCGAAGUAAUGAUUAAAAGAGACAGACGGGGGCAUCUGUAUGGUGGUGUUAGAGGUGAAAUUCGAUGAUCGCCGCCAGACAAGCAACUGCGAAAGCAUUUGCCAAGGAUGUUUUCAUUAAUCAAGAACGAAAGUCAGAGGUUCGAAGACGAUCAGAUACCGUCCUAGUUCUGACCAUAAACGAUGCCAACUGACAAUCGGAGUUUAUUAUUAUUUUUUCACUCCGGCAGUCCCUGGGAAACCUUUAAGUCUAUCGGUUCUGGGGGGAGUAUGGUUGCAAAUCCGAAACUUAAAGGAAUUGACGGAAGGGCACCACCAGGUGUGGAGCCUGCGGCUUAAUUUGACCCAACACGGGAAAACUCACCCGGCCCGGACACUGUGAGGAUUGACAGAUUGAUAGCUCUUUCUUGAUUCAGUGGGUGGUGGUGCAUGGCCGUUCUUAGUUGGUGGAGUGAUUUGUCUGGUUAAUUCCGAUAACGAACGAGACUCUAGCCUGCUAAAUAGUCACCACGUAAUAAUUGCGUGGACUGACUUCUUAGAGGGAUUCGCUACGUUUAGUGGCACGAAAUUGA